rnacentral:rRNA from 1 species
AAAAACCUCCUGGAGAAUAUCUCCGGGGGCGGAUCUCGCGGCGCGAUGAUUUAUUGAGCUCUUGUUGCUUCGGCGGGCCCGUCGUUAUACGGCCGCCGGAGGACCGACUCCAGGUCCUCUGGCCCGCGCCCGCCGAUAGCCAAAAUUACCAAACUCUUGAAUAAUCGUGCCUAUGAUGUCUGAGUACUAUAUUAAAAAUAAAAGCAAAACUUUCAACAACGGAUCUCUUGGUUCUGGCAUCGAUGAAGAACGCAGCGAAAUGCGAUACGUAAUGCGAAUUGCAGAAUUCCAGUGAGUCAUCGAAUCUUUGAACGCACAUUGCGCCCUUUGGUAUUCCGAAGGGCAUGCCUGUUCGAGCGUCAUUAUCACCCCUCAAGCCCUCCGGCUUGGUGUUGGACGGUCUGGUCGAGCUGCUCGACCCCUCCCAAAGACAAUGACGGCGGCCUGGUUGGACCCCCGGUACAUGGAGCUUCUUAAUUGAGCACGUAUCGGUUUCAAGGCGUCCCCGGGACCCGGUCUCCUCUCUCCCCCUCGCGGGAGGGAAACCCCCCUUUUUUCUAAGGUUGACCUCGGAUCAGUAGGAAUACCCGCUGAACUUAAGCAUAUCAUAAGCGGAGGUACCGAAGGGUUGAGGGCUGUCGCCGAUCACUUGCUUUAUUGACCGUUGCUGCGGGGCUCUUAAGGGCGAGGCACCGUCUGCCGAUAAUAAUUAAAACUUAUGCGAACAAUUAAAACAUACGUUCUAGCAGGGUAUAUCUGUCAUAGGCUCUU